CUACAUGGGGUCUAGUGGGUUAGGAUUCCUGGCUUUCACCCAGUGCGGCCCGGGUUCGAUUCCCGGUGUAG
rnacentral:tRNA from 1 species